UUUGAUGCUUCUGAGCCUGCAAACUCAUUU
rnacentral:piRNA from 1 species